UGCUCACUUCAACAGCACAAUACUAAAGUUGGAUGAUACAGUGAAGAUAGCAUGGCCCCUGCACAAGGAUGACAUGCAAAUUCAUGAAGACUUCCUUAUUUAA